AUCAGGUAUGCCUUUUGAGCCUUCUACAGGUCAAAAUGCAUCCAGAGAUGUCUUUUUUUCUACAGUCUCUGCCUUUGUUACAGUUUCUAUUUUUGCAGGCAAAUUUAUAGUUUUAUGCUAUUUUUUAACAUGCCAAGUUUGCUAGUGAGGCAGGCUAAUUCACUCUAUCUAAACUUUACAUGCUCCAUGGAAGUACUGUACAGACAAGUCAGUUGACCCAAAACUGUCAGACUUUGCACUGAUGUCUCUAUUUCUGUAUGAGUUUCGUGGCUCAUGAAGAGUUUAAUUUGCAUUGUCCUAAUUUGAGGGAUUUCUUGGUGAUUCAGACAUACAUGGAGAGCAAAUUCUUCUUAAAAAUGGGAUUUUAUUUGUAGACCAUGAUUAUCUGUGAAAGUGGAAGAAUACGGUUCUUCUCAUAGAUAGUUUUGCUGCAAACUUUGGAAGUUUUAGUGCCAAACCACCAAAUAGAAGAGGGACAACAGUUAAUUUUCUUAUCAUCCUUCUCAUAAUAGCGCUUGAUGAACAGGUAAAGAGGCAGAAUCCAUGUUUCUGUGGUGAAGAAAUCUGUUCUUGGCAGAUAAAUCUUUGACAAAAAAAAUGCAUCUAUUAGACAACUGUAUAGGGCUUACAUAAUGUAAUUGAAACGUAACUCCGCUUUCACAUCCAUAGCUUCUCAGCUUUCCUUGUAAUGGUUUUAAAAGGAAGCCUUUGGAAUUUCUAGAGAUUGGAAAUAUUGGGUUGUUGUGAGUUUUCCGGUUUGUAUGGUCAUUUUCCAGAAGCAUUCUCUCCUGACGCUUUGCCCACAUCUUCUCCAACCCUAGACCUUCCACAAAUAUAUAAACCUCCCUUGCUUAGUUUCCAAUAUACCUCAAAACCUCUGAGGAUGCCUGUCAUAGAUGUGGGCGAAACGUCAGGACAGAAUGCUUCUGGAACAUAGCCAUGCAACCUGGAAAACUCACAACAACCCAGUGAUUCCAGCCAUGAAAACCUUCAACAACACAUUGGAAAUAUUACUUUUUUGUACUACAGUCUUCAGAAUCAACGUGCCUCUGCAGAUUAGUUUCUGGGAGUCUUGGUAGAGUCCUCUCUACAGCUUAUCUCUACUAUAAAUGAGAUUAGUAUAGUAUCAUCAUGCUGAGAGUGCACAGAGAGAGGAGGGAUGCAGGAGUUGCUUAUUCACAUAUAAGCCUGCAAUAGUAAAAAAGGAAACACAUCUUGCUGCUUUAUAAGCUUUUCCUGAUAACAAUAGGCAUAGCUACUCAUAUUUCAGGAAUGGAUUGAGAACACACAAGUUCCUACAUGGAAAUAUAUUUGAGGACUUUGUGGAUCUCCCAUGAGUAGCAAAGUAAAUCAUGCAUGGAGAUAUCCAUCAAGUCAAUUCUGACUUAUCUUUACCAUAUAGUUCUGGAGUAGUUAACUUAUGGCCCUCCAAAUGUGGCUGGACUGCAUCUCUCAUCAUUCUUUGGUGUGAUAUCCUGGUGAGUGUUACAGCCUAACAACAUAUGAAGAGCAACAAAUUACUCACUCCUGCUAUAAACAGGAGUGUUGGGAAUAAAGUUACUUCUCUGUUGAUAACUCUCAGAUAUGAGAAAAAAAGUAGUUAUCACAUAUUGAAAACAUUAUUUUGGCCUUAUCUCCGAAUUGGAGAUGCUCCAUAUCUUAUGCAGCACUGUUAUGUAGAAAAAUGGAAGAUGAUAAAUGCGACGAAUACUGUAAGGAAGGAUUGACAGAUGCUUGAACAAGCCCUGACUUUGGAAACAUGCAACAUGAUGGAAUUACACGGCUAUUAUCUCAUAUAUCUCAAUAGAUGGCAAUAGAUUUGAGGCAGAGACUGUACAGAUUGUUCCCCUAAACAUUGUAUAUACAUUUUCAAUUCAUUUUGGUUGGACUUGCUGACAUGGAAGUGUGUUGAGAGACUUCUCUAGCAAGUCUCAUACUAAUGUAAUAUAAAAAUGAGGGGUUUAAUAGGUGACAGAACUGUACAUUACAUUAUUGGUUUUUCAGGUGGAAAUGGGGGCAGCCAGAUACAUAAUGUUUUACUGAGAUGAAUGCUUCUGACAGCAGGAAAAGUACCUGAAGGAAGUUAAUACAUCAGAAGUAACACUAUAUGAACCCAAUUAACUUCUAUCUAAGAUACAAUUGGUCAUCAACUUAUACACAGGUGCAGUAUGCUGGAGAGAUGAUGAUAAGGUGGAAGAAAAGCAUCCAACUGCUCUCCAACUCUUAAUUGGAGUUUGUCAACUGGAGAAAUCCCUGCUGGGCCAACAAGCCUCCAUAAAGAAGAGGGAGCAGGUUUGCUUUGUGCUGCCCUGGACACUAGGACUUGGAGCAAAGGAUUCUAAUUACAAGAAGAAGAUUCCACCUGAACAUUUGGAAGAACUUCCUGACCAUGAAAGCUGUUCAACAGUGGAAAUUACUGCCCCAAAAUGUGAUGGAGGCUCUUUCUUUGGACGCUUUUUAACAAAGGCUGGAUGACAGGGUGCUUUGAUCGUGCUUUUCCUGCAUGGCAGGGGCUUGGAUUGGAUGGCCCAUGGGAUCUCUUCCAACUUUAUGAUUCUAUGAUUCUAAGUAAUGAACAAGCUUAUUGGCCAUAGUAUGUGAUUUGCUUCAUCUACUGUCUUGCAUCUAGCAUGCUCUUUUUAUUGACUCAAGAUUAAUUGGAAAUAAGGCACAUAGCUCUCUGAGGCUUUCCCAUUGUGGAAAAGAAAACAAAUUAGCUACUGGAAAUACUUCUUAACCUGGAAUUUGAUCUGCUCUAGAUUCUAAAAGAUCUUUAUUCAACUAAGCUUUUUACUAAUUUGUUUAUUCAUUUUCCUGAGCAUUCGCUAAGCUCCUGAAUGAUAUUUUAUUCUUACUGCUCAAAUGUCUUUUUAAUAUUUAUGUUGUAAGCCAAGGCUUCUUCUAAAAAAUGAGAUAUAUCAAUACAUUUAUUUUAAAAUAUGCACUCCUUUGCUGACAAAAUAAAAGAUUUCAACUGAGUAACAAAUACAAAUCUUAUUAAAACAACGUACACCUUCAUGGGCAUACAUUGCUGCUCUCCUUUAUGCUAUGAAUCUGCAUAACUCUGUUAAUUAGCAAGAUUCGAAUUAGAAUUAGACUUUGAUGAUUCAAGAAGAUGGGCCAGAAUUGAAAAAACAAUAAAUGGAUGGGAUCAUUACUUGUGCUUAAAAGGAUGGGUGGACAAUAAAACUCUAAACGAGAUUAAAGGGGUCUCAAUGAUCUCAUCAAUGGAGUGUUGGAAAAAAUUGCAAGGUAAAUUUCCAAUAAAUAAAGUAGAUAUACUCCCAAUAGCAUUUCUAUACAAUAAAAAGGAACAGAUAUUUGGCAAAGUCGCAACAAAUUGAUGGGACAAUCAAGAAUUGGGAGACGAUAAAGGAUAUUUGUGGUCAAUGUAACUGACUUCUAUGGAAUGGUUUAAAACAAAGGAUUAUGAACUGGAGGAAAAAGGAAGGUCCAGAAAUAGAUUUUGACCAAAUUUUAAAGUGGAAAUUAAAAAAGGAAAAAGGCCUGAUGAGUUUCAUAUACAAGAAAUUAGUUGGAAAACAACAACAACAACAACAACAACAACAACAACAACAACAACAACAACAACAAUUACUGUAUAUACUCGAGUAUAAGCCUAAUUUUUCAGCCCUUUUUUAGGGCUGAAAAAGCUCCCCUCGGUUUAUACUCAAGUGAGGGUCCUGGCCGGCUUCUAUUCAGGUCGGCUUAUACUUGAGUAUAAAGGUAUUCAGAGUUGGGCAGUCUUAUCUUAUUAAAGUCUUAUUAUCUUAAAUUACAGUUUUAUAUAAAUGUUCAAAAACAUUUAACCUACUGAUGCCUCAAAUAAUGCAAUUUUAUUAAUAUCUAUUUUUAUUUUUGAAUUUGACUCAUAGCUGCUGCAUUUCCCACCCUCGUCUUGUACUCGAGUCAAUAAGUUUUCCCAGUUUUUGUGGUAAAAUUAGGUGCCUCAGCUUAUAUUUGGGUUGGCUUAUACUCGAGUAUAUACAGUAAUAAUAAGACUUGUUUGUAUUCUGACCUAGCUCCCCAGCGGACUCAAUAUAAAUUGAAACAGACAUUGGCCAAGAUAUGGAAAGAGGACAUGAAUAGCAAUGAGUGAGACAUUGAACACAGGAUCAAUACAAUUUUUUAAAAAAUCAAGUACAUAAGGACAAGAGAAACACAAAAGAAAAUACUGACCAAAUGAUACAGAACUCCAAUUAAAUUAGCUUACAUAACCAAAUAAAUCACAAAAUUGUGUUGGCACAGAUGUGGAGAAAUUGGCUCCUAUAUGCAUAUGUGGUCGAAAUGUGACACAGUACAAAAAUUGUAUAACAAGGUAAAGAAGGAAAUGGAAAAAUUAAUAGGGCAUAAACUGGUGUUGGAUUGAAAAAAGAAUUCUUCACUCUUGGAUAUCUUUACAGAACAGAACUAUUAAAAGGUCGUUACUUAGCGCUUUAAAGCUAGGUUUUCUUUGAACUUUCUAAUGCCAUUUUCUGCUUGUUUCUGUAGUACCUGAGAUAAUAUCCCUUCUUGGAGUAGAACUGUUUGAUAUAACCUUAGCUGCAGCCAUGUAACUGCUGAGUUGUAAUUAUGUGGUCACAGCACUAAGGGAUAAAAGAGAACUGUGAUAAUGGAUAUACCGUACUCAGAAAGGAAAGAGGGUCAUAUGUCAAAUUGCACUGGCUGGGAGAGCCUUGGAAACCCUGAGGACAAGGUAAUGAUGAUUACUAUGGGAACCAAUCAUUCGGCACUAUAAUGUAUCAUAAUAUAUAUCAAGGGAACACUCUAUAAAAGUGAAUAUUCUCUAGUAAUGCACAUUUAAUGUUAGCAUACUACAAUGAUUAUGUGAUUUUCUUUUCCUCUGAAAGAGCCUGAAAUAAGCUUAUGGCUGCAUAUCUCUUUGAUAUAGCUAUUAGAAUAUGUAAGAUUUUGAAUCAGAGCUAGUCUAUCAGUCUUUUAAGAAAAUUAUUGGUAAUCAUAUAAUGUAAUAACAGGAUAAUGCAUAUAAUAAAAUUCAAACCUGUUA